AGUGAACGCUGGCGGUAGGCCUAACACAUGCAAGUCGAACGGCAGCACAGUAAGCGCUUGCUCUUACGGGUGGCGAGUGGCGGACGGGUGAGGAAUACAUCGGAAUCUACUUUUUCGUGGGGGAUAACGUAGGGACACUUACGCUAAUACCGCAUACGACCUACGGGUGAAAGCAGUGGAUCUUCGGACCUUGCGCGAUUGAAUGAGCCGAUGUCGGAUUAGCUAGUUGGCGGGGUAAAGGCCCACCAAGGCGACGAUCCGUAGCUGGUCUGAGAGGAUGAUCAGCCACACUGGAACUGAGACACGGUCCAGACUCCUACGGGAGGCAGCAGUGGGGAAUAUUGGACAAUGGGCGAAAGCCUGAUCCAGCCAUACCGCGUGGGUGAAGAAGGCCUUCGGGUUGUAAAGCCCUUUUGUUGGGAAAGAAAAGCAGCAGGUGAAUACCCCGCUGUUCUGACGGUACCCAAAGAAUAAGCACCGGCUAACUUCGUG
rnacentral:rRNA from 1 species